GUGAGGGAAAGGUGAAAAGAGCGUCGAUGACGAGUGAAAUAGAUCCUGAACUAGCAAUCAUACAAGCACUUAAAGCAUAAUCCCUCCCUAGAGGAGGACUAAAAUGUGAUAAGGUACCUUUUGUAUAAUGGGUCGGCGAGUUUAUAGUAGUAGCAAGGUUAAUAACCCUAGCGAAAGCGACUGACUAGUAAUAUCUAGUGCGGGUAAAGUUACUAUUAUAAGACCCGAAACGUGGUGAUCUAUCCUUGACCAGACUAGUAAAUAGGUCGAACGGGUCAAUGUUGCAGUAUUGUCCGAUGAGUUGAGGAUUGUAGGUGAAAGGCCAAUCUGACCACGAGAUAGCUGGUAUUCCUCGAAACGUAUAUAGGUACGGCCCUCUGAUAUAUAUUCACGCAGGUACAGCACUGAUUG
rnacentral:rRNA from 1 species